UCUGAGUCAAUAACCCCGCAAGACACAAGUGCCUACAUAAGAGUUGAUGGUGAUGGUGUACUGCAUCUGGUGCAGCCUCCUGUUGAGCCAGACCAACAUGCAGUUGAACUUGAAGAAACAUUGACAGCUGUCACAGAGGAGGAAGCAACAGAGACACUUUAUGAGAGUGAUGAUGGAAAUGCAGAGGAAGAGGGUCCAGCCACUUCUCCAACAAACCUUUCCUCACUCCCUGUAAAGCAGCUGUACAAGAAAUAU